rnacentral:rRNA from 1 species
AUGCACGCUGGCGGCGUGCCUAAUACAUGCAAGUCGCGCGAACAGAUAAGGAGCUUGCUCCUUUGACGUUAGCGGCGGACGGGUGAGUAACACGUGGGUAACCUACCUAUAAGACUGGGAUAACUUCGGGAAACCGGAGCUAAUACCGGAUAAUAUUUCGAACCGCAUGGUUCGAUAGUGAAAGAUGGUUUUGCUAUCACUUAUAGAAGGACCCGCGCCGUAUUAGCUAGUUGGUAAGGUAACGGCUUACCAAGGCGACGAUACGUAGCCGACCUGAGAGGGUGAUCGGCCACACUGGAACUGAGACACGGUCCAGACUCCUACGGGAGGCAGCAGUAGGGAAUCUUCCGCAAUGGGCGAAAGCCUGACGGAGCAACGCCGCGUGAGUGAUGAAGGUCUUCGGAUCGUAAAACUCUGUUAUUAGGGAAGAACAUACGUGUAAGUAACUGUGCACGUCUUGACGGUACCUAAUCAGAAAGCCACGGCUAACUACGUG